rnacentral:rRNA from 1 species
CCUACGGGUGGCAGCAGUGAGGAAUAUUGGUCAAUGGGCGCGAGCCUGAACCAGCCAAGUAGCGUGAAGGAAGACUGCCCUACGGGUUGUAAACUUCUUUUAUAAAGGAAUAAAGUGAGGCACGUGUGCCUUUAUGAAUGUACCUGAUGAAUAAGCAUCGGCUAACUCCGUGCCAGCAGCCGCGGUAAUACGGAGGAUCCGAGCGUUAUCCGGAUUUAUUGGGUUUAAAGGGGGCGUAGAUGGGUUGUUAAGUCAGUUGUGAAAGGUUGCGGCUCAACCGUAAAAUUGCAAUUGAUACUGGCAGUCUUGAGUACGGUAGAGGUAGGCGGAAUGCGUGGUGUAGCGGUGAAAUGCUUAGAUAUCACGCAGAACUCCGAUUGCGAAGGCAGCUUACUAGACUGACACUGACAUUGAUGCUCGAAAGUGUGGGUAUCGAACAGGAUUAGAUACCCGUGUAGUC